ACAGACCCACAAGAGGUACCAGACUGUAGACCUGGGGGGGAUGAGGACAGACCCACAAGAGGUACCAGACUGUAGACCAGGGGGGAUGAGGACAGACCCACAGGAGGUACCAGACUGUAGACCUGGGGGGAUGAGGACAGACCCACAGGAGGUACCAGACUGUAGACCUGGGGGGAUGAGGACAGACCCACAGGAGGUACCAGACUGUAGACCUGGGGGGAUGAGGACAGACCCACAGGAGGUACCAGACUGUAGACCUGGGGGGAUGAGGACAGACCCACAGGAGGUACCAGACUGUAGACCUGGGGGGAUGAGGACAGACCCACAGGAGAUACCAGACUGUAGACCUGGGGGGAUGAGGACAGACCCACAGGAGGUACCAGACUGUAGACCUGGGGGGAUGAGGACAGACCCACAGGAGGUACCAGACUGUAGACCUGGGGGGAUGAGGACAGACCCACAGGAGGUACCAGACUGUAGACCUGGGGGGAUGAGGACAGACCCACAGGGGGAUGAGGACAGACCCACAGGAGGUACCAGACUGUAGACCUGGGGGGAUGAGGAC